AGAGGAUACAAACUGCACUGGGAUCAGAGGAACAGUCAGGCGGCAGGCCAGGCUGACUGAAGGCUGUUGGUGAAAGAAGAUAAAUGUCUGACUCAGGAAAAGGCAGUUGUUUUCUACUGGAAACAGAGAGCAAUUGAGGGCAGGAUGGAGACACAGCUGAGACUUCUCAUGAGUAACCGUAAGUGACUUGAACAGCUCAUCCUUGGUUACUUCCUGUUUCCUGAGGCCUUUGAGCAGCACUUCCUGUCUCUGCGAGUUCUGUGGAAUGUCACCUUUCAUCAUUAGGAGACAUUGACACGUCUGCCACUGACAUAUGCGAGAGCGUUCCUCUCUGCUGUUAAACUGUCAACGCUGAUUGUGUGAAAGAGAGUUAAGAAUAGAGGCAGGAGGGAAAGUGAGGAAAGCAAGAAACUAGAAUCACUGCCUUGUGGAUGUUUGUUUAAGUCAAAAAGUCAAGCUGCAGAUCAGGUCCAUGUCUGUCCAAACUCAUAUGAUCUACGCUGUGAAGACUUUGAAUGAAUUUAAUAAAAGGUACGGAAACCUGGAAGUCGUCCCAGUAUUGGCGUGUAUGAUUUCCGUGGAUAAUUUCCAGUGAGAAACAUGCAGUGUUCACUUUGACUAUUUUCACAGAGGGGUACAGAGGACUGAUAAAGUGUCCUGCAGGAAAACUUUGGUUUCCAAGUCACACAAACACUUAUCAACACUGUCACAAGUACAUAAGCCAUACAUUAAAACUCAAACCAAACGUGUAUAUUCACAAGUUGACAGUGAGACAGUAGUUCUUCAUAGUUGUAAAAAACAGAAAAGCUGCAAUAGACAGUAGUUUUAUACAAUAAAACCACAUCAAAUCAAACUAGUAGUUGAUGAGACAAUAGAAGGAAAUAAAAAGACAAUAGUUUCAAUCAUAUAGUACUCCUAUUUGUUUUUAUUUAAUAUCCCGAUAGCCGACGGAUUUGGUUCAAUCUGCUAUUUGGCAUUGUAAAUGUAGAGCAACAACAAUCAGCUUAGGCUCAAUAUCAACAAAACAUUUUUUUCCACUACCAGAGGAACAGGAGAGCUUUGUUGUUCUUGUUCUGUUGCAUGUAUUAUAAUAGCCUGUGACUAUAUUGAGAAACGAAUGUUCAUGUUUGGCAAAGGUUGUACGCAUGACGAUAGACAAUACUUGAAAUAUAAUAUUGAUGGGUGCUUCUGUGAAACUGGUGCCUAAAAA